rnacentral:rRNA from 1 species
AGCGAACGCUGGCGGCAGGCUUAACACAUGCAAGUCGAGCGGGCAUAGCAAUAUGUCAGCGGCAGACGGGUGAGUAACGCGUGGGAACGUACCUUUUGGUUCGGAACAACACAGGGAAACUUGUGCUAAUACCGGAUAAGCACUUACGGGGAAAGAUUUAUCGCCGAAAGAUCGGCCCGCGUCUGAUUAGCUAGUUGGUGAGGUAAUGGCUCACCAAGGCGACGAUCAGUAGCUGGUCUGAGAGGAUGAUCAGCCACAUUGGGACUGAGACACGGCCAAAACUCCUACGGGAGGCAGCAGUGGGGAAUAUUGGACAAUGGGCGCAAGCCUGAUCCAGCCAUGCCGCGUGAGUGAUGAAGGCCCUAGGGUUGUAAAGCUCUUCUGUGCGGGAAGAUAAUGACGGUACCGCAAGAAUAAGCCCCGGCUAACUUCGUGCCAGCCGCCGCCGUAA